rnacentral:rRNA from 1 species
UACGUAGGGUGCAAGCGUUAAUCGGAAUUACUGGGCGUAAAGCGUGCGCAGGCGGUUCGGAAAGAAAGAUGUGAAAUCCCAGGGCUUAACCUUGGAACUGCAUUUUUAACUCCCGAGCUAGAGUGCGUCAGAGGGGGGUGGAAUUCCGCGUGUAGCAGUGAAAUGCGUAGAUAUGCGGAGGAACACCGAUGGCGAAGGCAGCCCCCUGGGAUGACACUGACGCUCAGGCAAGAAAGCGUGGGGAGCAAACAGGAGAGAAACGUAGUCC